rnacentral:rRNA from 1 species
GACGAACGCUGGCGGCGUGCCUAAUACAUGCAAGUCGUGCGGACCUUGUUGAAAGCUUGCUUUUAAAAGGUUAGCGGCGGACGGGGGAGUAACACGUGGGCAACCUGCCUGUAAGACUGGGAUAACGCCGGGAAACCGGGGCUAAUACCAGAUCGUUUUUUCCUCCGCAUGGAGGAAAAAGGACAGGCGGCUUCGGCUGCCAUUUACAGAUGGGCCCGCGGCGCAUUAGCUAGUUGGCGGGGUAACGGCCCACCAAGGCAACGCUGGUUAGCCGGCCUGAAGGGGUGAACGGCCACAUUGGGAAUGGGACACGGCCCCAACUUCCACGGGGGGCAGCAGUAGGGGAUCUUCCGCAAUGGGCGAAAGUCUGACGGAGCAACGCCGCGGGAGUGAAGGAGGCCUUCGGGUCGUAAAACUCUGUUGCCGGGGAAGAACAAGUGCCGUUCGAACAGGGCGGCGCCUUGACGGUACCCGGCGAGAAAGCCACGGCUAACUACGUG